rnacentral:rRNA from 1 species
UACGGGGGGAGCAAGCGUUUGUUCGGAUUUACUGGGCGUAAAGGGCGGGUAGGCGGCCACCGCAAGUCAGUUGUGAAAUCUCUGGGCUUAACCCAGAAAGGUCAACUGAUACUGCGGGGCUAGAGUGCAGAAGGGGCAACUGGAAUUCUCGGUGUAGCGGUGAAAUGCGUAGAUAUCGAGAGGAACACCUGCGGCGAAGGCGGGUUGCUGGGCUGACACUGACGCUGAUGCGCGAAAGCGUGGGGAGCAAACAGG